rnacentral:lncRNA from 1 species
GGGGAAGUCCUCCUAUAGAUUGCUAACGAAUGCCUCCCCCAACCACCCAAGAAGGAGUUGUUGAUGGAAAGAAUUAAAAAUUGUGACCACUUGAACGGCUCCACUGGUUGGAUCUGUCUUUUCCAAAGAGACUGAUCUUUCUAGGACUUCUGUCUGCGUGAGAGGUCCCACCCACCCUGCUACCAUUUUAAGGAGACCUGUGAAAGCCUCCUUAUUUGGCUUCCCUCCUACUCCCCCCGUUAUGCCACCACUGUGUGCUACUGCUUGAAAUUAAUCAAGGGCCCCUUCUGGGAAAGGGAUUCCUCUUUGAGAGAAACGGAACUGGACACUUCUCUGCCUUCCGCGUCCCCUCGCCCUGCCAGCCCCUGCUCCCCAAAGCUCCCCAGACAAAGCCCCAGGACUCCCGACUCCCGCGGAAGCUGCGAGGAGCCGCAGACCUGCCCUUGCCAGACAGCUGCUGUUUGAACCCAGUUCUGACCGUAAAAUCAAAAGUGGGUCCGAGGGAAGCGGUAAACACUGUGCAAUGAGCCUUUUGAAGGCAGCUGAUGCCUCAUUUGGGGUGACAUGUUGUGGCUGAUGAGUGUGGAUGAUGUGGGGUUUUCGAUAAGUGCCUCAUCAGUAUCCUCAUCAUGCUCGUGUUGCUCCGCCGCGGCGUGUGCCCUGACUUGAUUGUAAUUGCCCGAAUCUGCUCCCGCUGCUCAGGCGCGCACAGUAAUAUGCAAUAAAACAGCAAGAAGUGAAUGUUAACCAUCUGAGUUCUGACACGGCGGCUCUGCAGUUCAAGAUCUCCAUUAAGACCGAAAAAAAAAAGAAAAGAAAAAAAGGAAAGAAGGAAUCAGAAAAUUCCCAGGGUCUCCUUCUGUGAUCCAAGGGAAAGUCCAGAAAUUAAGGAGCUGUUUGUUUAGUCUUCUUAGGUCCUCACAGGUAGAAACUAACAGGUGCUGAAAAACAAGGGAAAAAAUGGUCUUGAAAACAAGGAAUCAUAUUUGCCUGUGGAUAUGGAAGAGUUUCAGAUUUGUAAUUAUUGCUGAGCGCAAGAAAACAUCAGGAAGAUUUGUGGUUUAUGGAAGAAUAGGCACCUUCCAACGUUAAUCUUAUCUCCCUAUUGCAGGUAACUAGUAUCUUCAGCUGGAAAUAUCAAAUGCAAAUCUCUUAAUUUGUUUAACACAGAGAUUUUAAUUUCCCAUUCAUAUCAGUGUCUGUAUACUCCUGAGUUUUACACAAUGCUUGUCCUCCUUUAGUUGGCUUGUACAGUAUUGUUUUUUCCAGUUAUAAAUAGAGAACAUUGGGCAUGUGGGUUAUCAUUUUUAAUUGAGCUAAAUUAAGCUAAUCAUAAAAAUUCUUCUUGCCAGUGA